GGACUCAACUUGAAUUAUCUAGGUUUUUGAGUUCAAGGAUUUAGGAUUUUUGAAAUUUCUAGGUUACUGAAUUUAGAGAUAUAAUUUCUAAAUUUUUUGGAUUUAAUUGGUUUUGGUUUUGAUUUUAGUUUAGCUUUGGAAAAUCAUGGAUCUUGCUGGACUUGUAAGGCGAAAUAGUUUAAGUUUUUUUUUUCCUGGUGUUCAUUCUAUUUUCCUUUUUCCCGUUAAUUCACAACUCAAUCUCUCCCCUUGACUUACACUCAUUGUCCCAGUUCCGUCC
rnacentral:lncRNA from 1 species